UGAGGAAUAUUGCACAAUGGGCGCAAGCCUGAUGCAGCAACGCCGCGUGAGGGACGAAGGCCUUCGGGUCGUAAACCUCUUUUCUGAGGGACGAGUAAGGACGGUACCUCAGGAAUAAGUCUCGGCUAACUACGUGCCAGCAGCCGCGGUAAAACGUAGGAGGCGAGCGUUAUCCGGAUUUACUGGGCGUAAAGCGUACGCAGGUGGCUUCGUGAGUCGGACAUGAAAGCUCCUGGCUUAACUGGGAGAGGUUGUUCGAUACUGCGGGGCUUGAGGUUGGGAGAGGGACGUGGAAUUCCCGGUGUAGUGGUGGAAUGCGUAGAUAUCGGGAGGAACACCAGUGGCGCAAGCGGCGUCCUGGCCCACACCUGACGCUGAGGUACGAAAGCGUGGGUAGCAAACAG
rnacentral:rRNA from 1 species